rnacentral:misc_RNA from 1 species
UUUCCGUAGGUGAACCUGCGGAAGGAUCAUUACCGAGUGAGGGCCCUCUGGGUCCAACCUCCCACCCGUGCUUACCGUACCUUGUUGCUUCGGCGGGCCCGCCUCACGGCCGCCGGGGGGCACCCGCCCCCGGGCCCGCGCCCGCCGAAGACACCAUUGAACGCUGUCUGAAGAUUGCAGUCUGAGCAUCUUAGCUAAAUCAGUUAAAACUUUCAACAACGGAUCUCUUGGUUCCG